rnacentral:rRNA from 1 species
CGGAGGGUGCGAGCGUUGUCCGGAAUCACUGGGCGUAAAGGGCGCGUAGGUGGCCUGUGGAAGUCUGCGGUGAAAGCCCGGCGCUCAACCUGGGAACUGCGCUUGUGACUGCUAAGCUAGAGUACGGCAGAGGGGGGUGGAAUUCCACGUGUAGCAGUGAAAUGCGUAGAGAUGUGGAGGAACACCAAUGGCGAAGGCAGCCCCCUGGGUCGAUACUGACGCUCAUGCACGAAAGCGUGGGUAGCAAACAGGAUUAGAUACCCUGGUAGUCCACGCCCUAAACGAUGUCAACUAGGUGUUGGGAGGGUAAAACCUUUUAGUACCGGAGCUAACGCGUGAAGUUGACCGCCUGGGGAGUACGGCCGCAAGGUUA